rnacentral:lncRNA from 1 species
GCCUUUGCUAGUUGGCGGGGAGAAUGGAAAUCACCGCUAUCUUGUGAUAGCCUUGGGUUAAUCUUAGUUUUAACAUAAUUUUAAGUCUUAACUUGCAUGCAAUUUACUUAAUAGGUGACACUUCCCCAUCGGUAGGGGAAAUGCACAAGGUAUUUUGCAUCAAAGAGGGUGUAUCACCCUUGGAGAUGCUGGGAAGUGGAGAUAUUCUUGAGAAAUUCAAGAGUUUUUUACUUCUCUACUCUACUAAGUAUCUUUAAGAGUGAGAGACUCUCAUAGAUACUGUAGAGUACAACAUUCACGCCUGGCGGUCCUUAGUUUAGUGAUAAGUUCAAUCUAUGAUUAGCAACUAUUUAUCAUCAUUUUUUGAUACUUUAAAAUUAGAGAUAUUCUUGAGAAAUUCAAGGGUUCUCUAAUGAGUAUCAUUGAGAGUAAGAAACUCUUAUUGAUACUGUCUUGUACAAACAUACACUCCUGUUGAUUCAGGUAUUCUCUUAGUUCAGUCCAAGUUAAGAUUUGUAACUGUUUAUCUACAUUAUAUAAAAUUGCUUUGUUUUGUAAGUGCUUUACAAGUUUGUUGCAGCUUAGCCUACCAAAUGAAUCCAAGUGCACCAUUGUAGAUAUUUUUUAAAAGCAGGAUUGAUGAACAACUAAACAAACAAUAUUGUGGAGAUACAUGUGAAUUAUAAUGGAGAUGCCACCAGCUAUUCAAUGCAUUGGAGAGCAGCUCUACUACCAAAGUGGAGAUGUGGAUCACUGGAUGUGGAUUGAUGAACAACUAAACAAACAAUAUUGUGGAGAUACAUGUGAAUUAUAAUGGAGAUGCCACCAGCUAUUCAAUGCAUUGGAGAGCAGCUCUACUACCAAAGUGGAGAUGUGGAUCACUGGAUGUGGUAUGAGAUAUCUGGUAUUUAUAUUUUCAGUAGUCUAGACAGGAUAGAAUUCUCUAACACUUCCCUAUUCUAACACAGAUAUCAAGCUAGGGCCGGGAUGUUUAUGGUGGUUACUAUUAUGACACAGUUCAUCCCGACCCUUUCGGCAGUGCCAUGUUCUAUCCGGUUGGUUCUGAGUCCAAUGGGUGCUUUCAAGUUAGAGUCAACUGACCUGCAGAUCGCAUUUCCGCGUGCCAACAACUGGACGAACAUGUGCUACUGUUAGAUUGUGGUUUAUGGAUGGCUGUGGAGUAAGAAAAUCACCUUGAAUAGGGUUUGAGUUGUCAGGGUCCCUGUAGGAUAUUUGCAGUUGUCAGUCGACUAUUACAUUUCUGAUCAGUGCCCUUUGUGGUGGUGCCACAGCUUUUUCAUGAUGGUUGCGGGCUCAGUACAGCACUAAUUUGAUGAGCAGGUGGUACUGUUACACUGUGGCCUGGUCUGACUUGUUCUAUGAGACUGGCGAUGCAAAUAUUAGAUUGUAGUGCCUUCAGCAAACUUAGGGAUGGGGGUGUGAGAAUUAUCUGUCUUAAGAAUUAGAAUUAAGAAAAAUACGUUUAUAUCUGAG